GUGAGGAAUAUUGGACAAUGGGGGAAACCCUGAUCCAGCCAUGCCGCGUGAGUGAUGAAGGCCCUAGGGUUGUAAAGCUCUUUCAGUGGGGACGAUAAUGACGGUACCCACAGAAGAAGCCCCGGCUAACUUCGUGCCAGCAGCCGCGGUAAUACGAAGGGGGCUAGCGUUGUUCGGAUUUACUGGGCGUAAAGCGCACGUAGGCGGAUCGUUAAGUCGAGGGUGAAAUCCUGGAGCUCAACUCCAGAACUGCCUUCGAUACUGGCGAGCUUGAGUCCGGAAGAGGUGAGUGGAACUCCUAGUGUAGAGGUGGAAUUCGUAGAUAUUAGGAAGAACACCAGUGGCGAAGGCGGCUCACUGGUCCGGUACUGACGCUGAGGUGCGAAAGCGUGGGGAGCAAACAGGAUUAGAAACCCCUGUAGUCC
rnacentral:rRNA from 1 species